GUGUACGGCCAUGCCACCCUGAAAGUGCCCGAUCUUGUCUGAUCUCGGAAGCUAAGCAUGGUCGGGCCUGGUUAGUACCUGGAUGGAGGCUACGUAGGAAGACCAGGUGCCGUAGGCA
rnacentral:rRNA from 1 species